AAAAAGGGAAGUCCAGGAUCAAUCUGCUGUGUGAAGCAUAGCUGGGCUGUCUCCCUUGACUCUACACAUCUGAUUUCUUUUCUGAGCCUCUUGGCUCAGAAAAGUGUGUGCCAGCUGGGCCUCCAAGGCUCACAGUGGGCUGGAAGAUGGAGCCACUACAGUGUACGUGGUCUCAGAGCCACAGGGGAAAUGCUAUCGCCCCCCCUUGUCUCUCUGUGGCUGAACUGUACUUGGAUCCUGAGCUCCGUACCACUCAGUACUUACACUAGAUCUUAUCUCUUCAAGCCAUUUCUGGUUUAACACUCAGUUCAGACUUCUCGCAUCCACCUUUCUCGGCAUCCCCCAGGAAAAGAGUCCAGCUUCCGAGGGCUUCUCAGCUUGUGUAGAGCAGCCCUGCCAUCUUCCUCCCCAGGAGCUGGGGCGGCUGCCCUCCCAUGUUUCUGGGGGACCAUAAGACAGAGGGACAUCCACUCUUGCAGAGGGCUCCUUGCUGUUGGGAGAGCCACUUACAGAGCAAUCUGUGUGCUGCAGGCCUGAGGUGGGAAUGGCAGCUGUGAGGGGGCUGGAGCCCACUAUUUUGUCAGGGAGGCACAGAGUACCAGGUCCAAGUGGGGCAUCAGGGAGAAAGCAGAAACUCUAGAAUCUAGAGCCCAUCGAGUGCCCUUGUGCAAAUUAGGAAAAGCUCCUAUGGUCAGAGGCUGAUCUGACCACACAUGGCAGCUACACAGGUGG
rnacentral:lncRNA from 1 species